rnacentral:rRNA from 1 species
AGAAUCUUCUGCAAUGGGCGAAAGCCUGACAGAGCGACGCCGCGUGGAGGAUGAAGGCCUUCGGGUUGUAAACUCCUGUCACAUGUUAAGAAACGUACGGGUCCACCCGUGCGCUGACGAAAGCAUGAGAGGACGUCACGGCCAACUUCGUGCCAGCCGCCGGGGUAAGACGAAGGUGGCUAGCGUUAUUCGGAGUUACUUGGCAUAAAGCGCGCGUCGGCGGCUCGAUCAGUCGGGGGUGAAAGCCCGCAGCUCAACUGCGGAACUGCCUCCGAUACUGUCGAGCUUGAGGGCGGGAGGGGUGAUUGGAACUCCAGGUGUAGCGGUGAAAUGCGUAGAUAUCUGGAGGAACACCGGAGGCGAAGGCGAAUCACUGGACCGCAUCUGACGCUGAGGCGCGAAAGCUAGGGGAGCAAA